rnacentral:miRNA from 1 species
UAUUGAAUUGGCCAAAAUUUUGUUUGGGUUUUUCUGUAAUAUCUAAUGGAAAAACCCAAACAAACUUUUUUUGCCAACCCAAUA